GACACCGGAAGUAUGAUACCGGAAGUGAUCCUUAUUGCGUGCGCCCCACCCAUAAGGCCAGGCUCGGGGUUCCAGGAGACUUAGAGGACCCAAGAUAACCAGCUGUCGCCAUGCUUCAGUGAGCCCCGAAAUCAAAGAUGGACGGGAUAAUGUGUGCCCGAGGCCACUGGCUUCAGUGGCGUCUCAGCCUCCUCCUUGUUCCCUCUGUGGCUGGAGCCAGGCUGCUGUGACACACUCCACACUUGCCCCGGUGUGACAGCACUUGCUGUGCCAGGUCCGGAACUGAAGGCUGAUGUGAUUCUCUGAACACCUCCUGAGUGGGUACUGCUUACUCCACGUGACAGAACAGUGAAAGUUCUGAUUUGUGCUACAACAUGGAUAAACUCUGAGGACUUUAUUAUAAGUGAAAGUAGCAAGACAUAAAAGGACAAGCAUUGUACCAUUCUACUUACAGGGGCCCCACACCAUCGAGACCGGAAGAACACUGGACUGGAGGAGCCAACAUCGAGUCAGGCACCCAAGUGAGAAGAGGCUCCACAUCCGGGCAUCAGCCAGGAGGCCACACUUCUGGAAGCUGUGCUCAGGAAGGCCCCAAGCAGCCGAGCCGCCCUUCGGAGCCAGAUGCAGGUCAGAGCGUUACUGGCAAGCUUCAUUAUGGGUUACUGUUGUUACUAUGAUUGGUGUGAGUUAUUAUAAGGCAUUAUCUUUGGCUUGUAUGUUUUGUGAUAGGUCUGUUUUGGUUGCUGCCACAGUGAUGGAUGGGAAGGUUGUUGGGUGUGUAUUUUACUUCCUGUUUUGUGAAUUUUUCUCAUGGGAUUUAUGGAAUUCUGGUGAUCAUAGACAAAGACUUCCUAGUCUGUUUGAACAGUUAAUAGAGCUGGAGGCGCAGGACACAGGAGUUAGAAUGUAGGAGAGCUUCCCGUAGGUAAGGGCCCAAUCACAGCCAGACUGGAACAGAUGCUUGCCUUGGCUUCUCGCACUUGGUCCCGGAAGCCCACUCGUGCUGUGAGCCCUGGUCGAUGCUGAUCUCUCUUGAGGUUUCACAAAUAGCCAAAAAUGUGGAUGUUGGCGUCACAGGGGUUUUGUAGCUGGAGGUGAAGGGAGCUAUAGCCUGAACUACUUUUCUGCUUCUGUAUACCCACGCCAGACCUAUGAGUCCCACAGUGCCAGUGUGAACGCUGUAUC